AUGCAGCUACUUCCACCAAGAUGAUGAUGUGAUUCCCUCAUUUGAAUUAGGGCCCAAAACAAGAUCAUACUUGUACUUCUAGUGCGCAUGAACCGAUUGGUUGUUGAGACUAUUGAUGGUAUACUAUCGUACAGGUAUUGUAGAUACGAGAUCCAACGGAGAACUGUUUUUCACCUCCUAAUUCACUUUUUCGUUGACAUUCGUAUUCCAAGAAGCACGGAGCCUGAAAUUGAACUCAGCAAAUAACUACAUAUACAGUGAGUGAACAGUCAUUUUAAGUGUUAGGGCAUUCUGUACUUUCAUAAUUCUUUCCAUGUUCCGUCCUCUUGCAUCUGAUAUGAGGCUACGAUUACAAGCCACACAUGCACAUGGAGAAAGUAUAAAAAUUACAUUUGUAAUUUAUAAUAUAUUUCAAGGGAGAACAACCACUAAGGUUA